rnacentral:piRNA from 1 species
UUCAACACCAAGGCUCUGACUGAACAGC